AUUGAACGCUGGCGGAAUGCUUUACACAUGCAAGUCGAGCGGCAGCGCGGGGCAACCUGGCGGCGAGCGGCGAACGGGUGAGUAAUGCAUCGGAACAUGUCCAUGUCGUGGGGGAUAGCCCGGCGAAAGCCGGAUUAAUACCGCAUACGCCCGAGAGGGGAAAGUGGGGGACCGCAAGGCCUCACGCGAUUGGGUUGGCCGAUGUCCGAUUAGCUAGUUGGCGGGGUAAGAGCCCACCAAGGCGAUGAUCGGUAGCUGGUCUGAGAGGAUGAUCAGCCACACUGGGACUGAGACACGGCCCAGACUCCUACGGGAGGCAGCAGUGGGGAAUUUUGGACAAUGGGGGCAACCCUGAUCCAGCCAUUCCGCGUGAGUGAAGAAGGCCU
rnacentral:rRNA from 1 species